GGAUACCAGGUUACAUUUGAAUGUCUAAUAAACAAUGAACUUAUUUUUUGGUAUAAGUGUGUUCCAGACAAUAUUUGGGACAUACUUGUACUAGAAAAAUAUUUAGAUUUUAAGUGAUAACCAAAUUUAACUGGACAUC
rnacentral:miRNA from 1 species